GACGAACGCUGGCGGCGUGCCUAAUACAUGCCAGUCGAACGCUGAAGGGAGGAGCUUACUCUUCUUGGAUGAGUGGCGAACGGGUGAGUAACGCGUAGGUAACCUGCCUUGUAUCGUGGGAUAACUAUUGGAAACGAUAGCUAAUACCGCAUAACAAUUGCUGACACAUGUUAUUUAGUUGAAAGGGGCAAUUGCUCCACUACAAGAUGGGCCUGCGUUGUAUUAGCUAGUAGGUGAGGUAAUGGCUCACCUAGGCGACGAUACAUAGCCGACCUGAGAGGGUGGGUGGACAGACUGGGAGUGAGACAGGGCCCAGACUCCUACGGGCGGCAGCAGUAGGGAAGCUUUGGCACAGGGGGGAAGCCAGACCGAGGAAGGGCGCGUGAGUGAAGAAGGGAGUCGGAUCGGAAAGCUAUGUUGUUAGUCAAGAAAGGGUGUGAGAGUGGAAUGUUCAUGGGGUGACGGUAGCUUAACAGAAAGCGACGGCUAACUACGUG
rnacentral:rRNA from 1 species